CAGUAGCCGCGGUAAUACGUAGGGUGCGAGCGUUAAUCGGAAUUACUGGGCGUAAAGCGUGCGCAGGCGGUUGUGUAAGACAGGUGUGAAAUCCCCGGGCUUAACCUGGGAACUGCGCUUGUGACUGCACAGCUAGAGUAUGGCAUAGGGGGGUGGAAUUCCACGUGUAGCAGUGAAAUGCGUAGAGAUGUGGAGGAACACCGAUGGCGAAGGCAGCCCCCUGGGCCAAUACUGACGCUCAUGCACGAAAGCGUGGGGAGCAAACAGGAUUAGAUACCCCGGUAGUCCCUGUCUCUUAUAC
rnacentral:rRNA from 1 species